rnacentral:rRNA from 1 species
UAACCUGCCCAAGAGAUCGGGAUAACACCUGGAAACAGAUGCUAAUACCGGAUAACAACAGAUGAUGCCUAUCAACUGUUUAAAAGAUGGUUCUGCUAUCACUCUUGGAUGGACCUGCGGUGCAUUAGCUAGUUGGUAGGGUAACGGCCUACCAAGGCGAUGAUGCAUAGCCGAGUUGAGAGACUGAUCGGCCACAUUGGGACUGAGACACGGUCCAAACUCCUACGGGAGGCAGCAGUC